AUUGAACGCUGGCGGCAUGCCUUACACAUGCAAGUCGAACGGCAGCACGGGAGCUUGCUCCUGGUGGCGAGUGGCGAACGGGUGAGUAAUACAUCGGAACGUACCCUGAAGUGGGGGAUAACGUAGCGAAAGUUACGCUAAUACCGCAUAUUCUGUGAGCAGGAAAGAGGGGGAUCGCAAGACCUCUUGCUUUAGGAGCGGCCGAUGUCGGAUUAGCUAGUUGGUGAGGUAAAGGCUCACCAAGGCGACGAUCCGUAGCUGGUCUGAGAGGACGACCAGCCACACUGGAACUGAGACACGGUCCAGACUCCUACGGGAGGCAGCAGUGGGGAAUUUUGGACAAUGGGCGCAAGCCUGAUCCAGCCAUUCCGCGUGAGUGAAGAAGGCCUC
rnacentral:rRNA from 1 species